GGGAGGGGUGCAAGCGUUGUUCGGAUUUAUUGGGCGUAUAGCGAGUGUAGGCGGUUUGACAAGUCGGGGUGUGAAAGCCCAGGGCCCAACCCUGGAACUGCAUCCGAUACUGUUAGGCUAGAGUCCCGGAGAGGGUGGCGGAAUUCCCGGUGUAGGGGUGAAAUCCGUAGAUAUCGGGAGGAACACCAGUGGCGAAGGCGGCCACCUGGACGGUGACUGACGCUGAGACUCGAAAGCGUGGGUAGCAAACAGGAUUAGAUACCCUGGUAGUCCACGCCGUAAACGGUGAGAGCUCGUCGUAGUGGGUAUUGACCCCUGCUGUGACCAAGUUAACGCAUGAAGCUCUCCGCCUGGGAAGUACGGUCGCAAGACUA
rnacentral:rRNA from 1 species